GUUAACCAAAAAGACAUUCAAAAGUGCUUAAUAGUGCAUAUUACAUUCAAAAAGACUUCUAAUGCUUAAUUUCUAAGGCUGAGAUGAAAAUCCUGCCUUCCUUGACAUCUUCUUUCCUUUCUUUUGUGUUGGUUGAGUUGCAGCAACAUCAGACACAUUCACAUACUUUCUUUUCCUUGGUGAUCUCAAAUUUUUUCUGAAUUGGUGGUUGAGAUGAUUGUGUCUGAGCUGGGUGUGCCUUUGACUGAGAAGCUUGUGUCAAAGAUGCUUGUGUCUGAGAUGGUGUUUGAGACACAUUCACAGUCUUUCUCCUCCUAGGUGAUCUAAUUUUCUUCUGUAUAUUUGGUUGAAAUUAGUGUGUCUGUGACUGAGAAGCUUGUUGAUGAGAAGCAUGUGCAAGGUGUGGCUGAGAUGAUUGUGACUGAGAUGAUGGUGGUGGAGGUGGUGGGCACGUUGACUUGUUGUGUCCAGUUUGCUUGCACCUACUACAUUUAAUCUCAUAAGAAGCUCACUUCAUUUGUAAGUUAUCUCUCAUCAGCUCACUUGUAUCCAUUCUCCUCUUCUUUUUAGGUCUCCCUGGUUGGCUUUUCACAAGUGGUGGUUGAAGGUCAGUGCAGUCUGUCGAUCUUGGCCAUUGAUAGGGAAAAUGAUGCUGGAAUAACAUGCAGCAUAUUGCUCUUUUUUUAAAAUUGAUGGCACAUAGUCAGCUAUCCUAUAAUUUUUGUGUUUCAUGCAAGAAAUGGCAUGACAAAAUGGUAGUCCUGUCAACAACCAUUUCCUACAAUCACACACUUUGUCCAACAAGUUGACAUCAUACUUGUCUCCAGUGCUUGACAUAUAUAUAACUUGGAAAUC
rnacentral:lncRNA from 1 species